rnacentral:lncRNA from 1 species
CAAAGUUUAUGGAUUAACACAAAGGGUCCAUCUGUACAGAUCUGGAAUUGUUUGCACCUGGAACAUAAGCAAAACAAGCACUUGUGCAUUAAAAUUCACAGAAGCAAUAGAAAGUUUUCAGCUCCUGCUCUUUUCCUACUGGAUUGAACACAAACUAAAGACGUAUGAGUAUUCUUCAAGAGUAUCAUCGGUAGUCUUCACAAUAUUUAUUGUUUGGUCUCUGCUUCCAAUUGAGUUUCUUGAGAUUCUUCAGCUUCUGAAAGUUUUUCAUCAUUUUCCAGUGUUUGCUGAAGCUCAUGAAUGGUGCUCAGGAGAACGUGAAACUGCUUUCUUCUCAGCUCCAACUUAUCUUCAACAUUUUCUUUAAUGUGAGAAAGGUGUUGAAGUUCUUUUCCCAAAGCUUCUAGCUGCUUCAGUGUUUCGUGUCUGUCUGGAUGGUGCUGUAUGACUUUGGCCAAUGCGUCAUAUUCCUGGCGAUUUUUUCUAAUUCUUUUUGCUUGCAGGAUUUGCUUCUUGCAUUCAGAAAUCUUCUCGUGCGCUGCAGCUAUACUGUUUUCUAUAUCCUUGUAGAUCUUUUCAUAGUUUUCCAUCUCUCUCAGGUUCAUGUCAUAAACCAGAAGAGUUUUUCCCAUUGAAAAUUCACACUGUGAUAGAGUACUCAGCAUUCGUUGGUACUGACUGUAACCUUCCUCCUGAGAUCCAGAGUUGCACCACUUGAUGAAACUCUUCACCAGCAGAUUGAUCCGCCUAUCGUCCCCAGCUCCGUCGCCAUCAAUUAGAAGCCGCUUGCGGAUGACUUCAUCGUCGGUCACGGCCCCCAUGGCGGCGAGCGGCGGAGCCGGCGGGGCGGCGGCAGCAGCGAGUGAGGUCAGCUUCCCACAAUGCAGCCGGCGAGAGCGGCGGCCAUGGAGGGGGAGGCGGCGGCGGCGGCGGCUGGGGCCUGAGCCGGCUGGCGGCGAACGCGCGGCCCGGCGGCGGAGCGGCGGGGAGGGCCGGCGGGGAGGCCCGCGCCCCGCGCGGAACCGGCCCCCUGGCGAGGGGCGGCCCCGCCAGGUGAGCGGCCGACGGGGGAGGGAAGCGGAGGUCCCCGCGCCCGCAGCCAGGCUCCACCUCCCCGCCACCGCGCCCCCGGCCCCGCCGCCCCCCGCCCGGGCCGCCCCGCCAUGCCCUCGGCACAUGGCCCGCGCCCUUCGACGCCUGGCAUCGAGGCGUGGGCCCGUCGCUGCGGGCAGAGGGGAGCCGGGCCGAGCGCUCCGGGCCGCGCUUGGGGACGUGUCCCUGGUGUGUGGCUUGAGAUGAGAGGCCGAGCGUUGGGGCCGAGGGAAGGAUGCGGAAAUGUUGUUCCUGAGGUGUUUCCCGGGGUGCUGCACUGUGGGUGGUAACCAAAGCGGGUUGUUUCUACGUGGAAAAGCUAACCAGCGCUGGGGUGUGCCGGGAGAAAAGAGGUAUUAAGCUGUUGGAUGAGAUCAAGUGUUGGGUUUUCGCCUUUUGGACCAAAAUGUUGACACUUGUGCCAUGCUACAGUUGAUAACGUUACUGUAAGGUGUGUUGGUACGGUAAUGGUACGUGAGACGUAUAUCCAGGCCUUGACAUCUCGGCAUUACCUCCUCCUCUUGGUUGGACACUAAAUACACGCAGGCUCGUUGCUCUCGGUGCUUUGCAUUAACAGAAGAUGGGUGUAAGGAAGAAAGAACCACGUCAGCGUGCGGUGUCAUCUCUGUCUUCCUGCUUUUAGGGUCGUGAGUGGUGAUGGGCUCUUUUUUGGUUCUGGAUAGAGGUGUGUAACAGGAGUUUACAUAUUGCUAGAUUGUUGCAAGCCAGCAGUUUGGCUCCUGAAGUGGCACCUGGUAGGUUGUUGGGGAGGUGCUGCUGGAAAGGGCUACGGCGAGAGGUCAUUAAAGCUCCACCUGAAUUUUUCUGAAUGAAGAAUUUCCAGUGUAGAUAAACUGGGUAAACAUGCUUUCUUCUUGCCAUUUUUAUGUAUCUCUGCGUGAUUUGUGAGUGAUACAAUUUGAUGUGAGAAUGGCACUUCCUGCAGUUAUUCAAAGUUUAGGCCAAAGAGCGAUGAAUCCCUGAACUAUGCGUGUGCAUGCGACAACACCUUCAUGAAAUCUGAAUGUUUCCAUGCAAUGUAUUUGGUUUGACAAAAAUGUUUGCCUUUCCUAAGGCUUUGGUCCCUUUGGUAUUGAUCGAGUGUUCUGGCAAAGGGUGAGAAGGCAGCUUAAGUGAACUGUACAGAUUUUAUACAGCACUGUUUGUUGCUGCUGUUCCCUCUCUACCCACUGAUUACCCUUUAGAACUAUUAUCUUCAGCAUCUUGGAGCAUCCUGGUCUUAUCAACACUUAAUACUAUUCUUGCCAUUCCCUUAGCUCUUUACUUUUCUACUGUGAUGAGAAGUUGACCAGAACUGUAGGGUAUUGUAGAUGGGAACUGACAGUUACUCAUUUAAUAAUGCAAGAAUACUUCUGUGUUAUUUUCUGUCAUUUAAUCUAAUAUUUUCUCACAUUGUGUUUAUCGUUCCAGUGUUGGUCAGGUAGCCUUAUUAGACUCUCCACAGUGACAAAUACCUGGAGUAAUUAAUUUAGAACACAGCAGUCCGUAUAAUUAGUUAGUAAUUUUUAAUGACUUUUAUGCCAUUCUUGACUUCAUUUGUGUCACUGAUUACAGCAUUCUUAUAAAAGCUCUGUCCUGGGUCUUAUAAGAAGAAUUUAGAGAACAAAGCCAUUAUUUUUUUUGUUCUAAAACAGAGCUUUUGGGUAUCAUCAGUGUCCAUUAACUUUCCUAUUUCAAAAUGGGAACUAGAACUUGGUAAAUGCAUCAUGAAGAAUCUCACUAAGGCUACAUAUUGAUGUUAAAUCCUGCUAUCUUUCCUCUUCUGUUUUGCCACGAGGUGUUUUGCCCAAGAAGCCAGUUCCAGCUUGCUGGAUUUCUAUACUCAUUGAGUAUUCACUAUGUCUUUGGAGUCUUCUUUCAGUUCGCUCCACUUCCAAGCAGAGUUCCUCAUCUUGUAAGUAUAAAACAACCUUUGUUACACGUGUAUGGGGUGCGUGUUGCACUAGUCUGUACCCGAGGAUGUUUUUUGCAUUAAUUCAGUGUUUGCUGUAGGUCUCUGGAACGGGCUUGACUCACUCUUAUUUAUUUUUCCUUCACCAGUUCUUGUAUUCUGUGCAGAUUCCAUCAGCUACAGGCUUUUAUGUAAUCCUUCAAUUAACAGGCAGAAAUACUGAGUAGCAUUGGACCUUCCUUAAGAAAUCAGUAUUGCAGAUUCAUGUGGUAGGAAAAAAAUGUCUUGCACAGGACAUAGCAUAUUCCUCCAUGCCAGGUAAUUUGGAAUAAGUACCUGUGCAAGCUUUCAAACAAGCUAACAUGAUGUAGAUUUUCCUCUUUCCUUGAAUUCCUUUACGUGUGCCAUACAGUAAGACCUUGAAGCAGCUUAUCCAUAAUAAUUUGUUACACACCUGUCCUUGUCUAACCAGUGAAAUGAUCCUCUGUAAUGUUUCCAGGUGUUCCUGGAUGCAGUGUAAGCUACGUACCUUUAGUGCUGUGAGAUGUUACACAUGUGUGGAAGUGGCUCAGAUUUUCAUCAUUAUCCUAUGGCUUUUAAGUACACUUUAUUAUUUUUUUAAAUUGAAGAAAUCUGUUAAUGUUAAGGUUUUUUUUUUCUUGAAAAGAACCUCUGAAAUAAUUUCACAGAGUUUAAGUUAACUUUAUACAUCCUCCCCUUUAACUAUGUGUGUAUGUAUAUAUGCUUUCCAACUGCAGAAAAAAUUGAAGGUGAAGAAGCUUUUCAUAGUAUUCAAGGGUAUAAUGAGCUAUGAUUUUUAGAGCUAAGAAAACAUCUUUAACUAUUGAUGAGGUGGAUUUCAAAUAUUUUUCCUAAGCCACCCUAAUAAUUUAUGAGGUGGUUUUAGAUUCCAGGUUUUCUUCGUGUUGAAUAACUUCUAAAUCAGACUGUUGUGUGGCAUUAAAUCUUACAGAGAUCUAAGUAUAGUAGGUCAGAAACUACAAGGUAUUUUUAUCCAGUCCAACCUAUAUUCUUGUCAGAAAGUCACACCAAAUUUAUGUAGUGAGACCUAUUUUCUGUAAGCCUAAGUUUAGCAUUACCGUCCUUUAUUUCUUUGUUGAUUGUAUUCUCUGUUUUUGUGCAAGGCUGAUAUUGAGCUAACCUGCUGGUGUCACCCUGUUUUCUCUUGUAAAUUACUGUUAUGUUUUGUCUGCAGUCUUCUUUGGCUUCUUUACCCUCAGUAUUUACUGCAAAUCAGCAGCAGUGUUUCAAGUGAUUGUCAUCUUAUUCUGUACAAAUUCUUAGACACGUGCUGUCUAGUUCUACAGAUAUUAUAAUAUUCACUCUUGGCAGAUAGGACUGAAUUUUUUCAAAAAAAUAGUAAAAAAAAAAAUAAUAGUAGCUUUUUCUUUUUUUCUUUUUUGUCUAAACAGUGUGAUUCUUAGCCUUGUAAAAAGCUUUCCUAACAUGGAUCCAUGUGUUUCUGCAGAGCUGGCACAUUUUCAUAGAGUUUUACCAUAAUAAGAGAAGGGAGAGCAAGAAUGCUCAUUGGGACUGUAGGUUCCUGCUUGGUGAGAACAUCAAGGCGUUCUAACACGUCUCGUGGAACUCAGUGUCAUGAAACUGCAGCAAGCUGUAUUAGGUAGUUAGAUUUUCUCUUUGUGUAAAAGUCUUUAACCCCAGAGGUUCCAGCUGCACGUGUGAUGCAUAGGAGGUUCUAUGCCACCUCUCUGAUCCAUGAUUUAAAAUGGCUUUGCGGUAGCUUUUGGGUGACACUUCGUAUUUCAUGCAUGUUAUAAGGAAGCAGCCAUUUAUGCUUUUGGAACUGUUUUGAAGGAAUUAGUCACUUAUCUGGUAGUCUCUUUGUUGGCAGGAUGUUUUCAGUAUGUUACUAUUAUGUAUUUAUGUUUUCCUUCCUCAAUGCAUCAAUUCACUGGUUUGGUAGCAUUCACGCUGUGCCCUGAAGAUCACCAGUGGCAUUCCAGAGUUUUCAGAGGAAGGUGUGGAAGUUGAAUGAGAUUCUAACAGGGACUAAGAAGAAGAAUUUGUCCUUGCUGGAGCUGAGCCAGGUGGUAAAUGUUUGUGUUUAACCAUGGCUUUAAGCACUGGGUGAACAAUCAGAGGGCUGUGAAUACAUUAUUUACUCAUGACAUCUAAAUAAAUAGCUGCUAGUGUUCCUGAGGAGCUUUUGCAGAAGGUUCAGAGGGAAGCCAGGUGUUUCCUGCUUGUGCCGUCCUUGUAGUGGUGCUGCGAGAACCCCAUGGCCCGGUGCUGGCCUCUGGAGAGCAGCACAGAGCUCUUGCAUGGGUCUGAGUCAGCCCUUCAGGCUUUACAGAAGGUAGUUGAUUGUUUUUUUGGGUUGGUUGCAGUGUGUUUCUUCUUACAAGCAGCUGAAAUCUGUGGAAGAUCACCUAGAAUUUUUAUAUGUCUUUCUGAGCUUGGCGAAGUAAGAUCCCGUGCCAUGGGAAGAUGUAGGAAGCAACACUUCUGUCUCAGAAGAUGGAGAAAGGAAGUAUUGGGUCUAUAUUGAUAAACACAUGGUUUCUGUUUAAAAACAGUUUUAUAUAUUGCCAUGGAUCAGUUUAUGGCUUAGAAGUAUACUUUCUUUUAAUAGAGUAACUCUGUCAGUGUUUAAGAACAGCUAUGAUUUGUGGCUCCAGUAAAACACAAUACACUGAGGCACGUGCUCACACCCUGGUUUCUGAGUCUGAGCAGGGAAACAGAGGCAUGGUCACACACUUUGGUGAUGCCUGCUCAUUUUUACAUUCUUAUGUUUUAAUACAUCACAUCAUGUUUCUGACCAUUGUUACCCUACAACAGAGACUCAAAGCAGGGCAAAACCCCCAGAGAGAAGCAGUGGCCUUCUUAGGAAGAAGACAUGCUCUCCUCCCUCUUGUUUGCUUUUUCAAAUGGGCCAAGCUUUGAAAAUAUUGCUUCAGUCCUGUGAAAGCAAAUGGUUUAAACAACUGUUUCAGAAGAUGUAUGUGGAGAAGAUAAUCCAUCUUUUCCAGCAGAGGCUGAGAUCCAGAUAGGGAGAUGCAUGUUGUGACCCUUCCUCACUCUGCUCAGGCAGGUUGUACCAAAGGGAAGACUUGGCCUAGCUGAGGCCAGAGGGGUUUCCAUGAAAAAGGAGAGGGCCAAAUGCUUUAGGAUUUGCAAGUGUUUCAUUAGAAUUACACCAGCUGAAGCAGCUGGAAGGAGGUGAUGAAUAUGCACAUUUUCUACCCAGUAGCUAAGUAGGAAUGUGCUUAAAUCCUGCCUGUAUCCAGGGCUAAGCACCUUUCUCCAGGGAGCAUUUUGGAUUCACGCUCUCUUGAAAUUAGGAUCAUAAGCUCUUUCUUUCAAAGGGGGAGUAAAGGUCAGCCUUUGCUUUCAAAACCCAGGAGGUGGUGAUGCUUCUGGUUCCCUUUUUGUCAUUAGUGGGGCUGUUAUCCGCUAGAACGCUCACCACGUGUGGGAGCCUUCAACGCAGCUAUCCUCCAUCCGGAGGAGAUUAAUGCUCAUAAUUCCUUCCAUCAGAGUGAAUUUUGUAAUCAGCAGGCUGUUGGCUAGCGUAAGGUGGUGGUGCUGUCAGGAGGACAGAAUGAACUCAACUCUGUAGCCCAGCACAUAGCUAUUAGACGACUCAGAACUAAAGCAUUUAAGGAAAUAAUGCAUAAAACCAAACCAGUCAUUUCAGAAGUGCAAGAGAAAGACAUGCAAGCAUUGCAAAAAUCGCUUUCAGGCUGAAGACCAGAUUCUCUUCAAAGACAUGUAUGAGUGCCUUUGUGCUAAUUUCCAGAUUUUAUGUGCAAGCAGGAAUAGAAGUUGGACUUGAAAAGUGUAGGCAGAAAAAAACACCUUGUGAAGCCAUAAUAAAAAAAUCUGCCUGAUAAACUGCUUUGAGGGAGGUGCAAAAGGUAGCUGGGACAAUGGUUUUCAAACCUGCUGAUAAAGGAGAGGUUAGACCCAGAUGCAUUAUGUGUUUAGUUGGUGUAUGUAUAUGUAUGUAUAUAUACAUGUUGUAUAUCUAUGCAGAUUUUUGGUUGGUAUAUGAAAGUGGUUGUAUGUGUGGCUAUGAAAGUAACCGUGUAUGCAGGUUAAGGUCAAAUCAUAUGAAAAUCUAUGCAUUCGGGCCAAAAUGUUAUUUCUGAGUAGGAUUUACAAAGCUCCCAGUCCAACCUGUGUUAUAACAACGUUCUGGUAGAGACCUGGUAUAAACAAACAGUCUGUUUUGGUUUUGUUUUGAAAAGUGUUAGUGCAGAAUGUCUGAAAUCUGUAAGGGAUUCUUUCUGGCCCUCUGUCUUUUGCUUUUAUUUUAAUGCAAAUAUAAAUAUUGAUUAUAUGUGGGUAAAAGUGCUCUAAUAAAGGAGAAAAGGCAGAAAGAUUGGAUUUUAUUACUUAAAUGAAUAAAGAUGGGCUUCUAAGAGCUGAGGGUAAAACAAAGCCAUGCUAAUAAUAACUACAACUGUGCACCUGUGAUUUUGUGGUUCAUUGUAAAUGUUUUCACUUCAGUUUCAUUCCAGUGUUGCUUUGGCAGUUAGGUUUAUUGAACGUUUUCUUCAUUUCUGAGAUCCCCUUGUGGUUUGUGGGGUGUGAGCAUAAAGUUAGAAUGGGGUUGAACAAGAAAAUAGCCUAAAAUGAAAUCGUGCACAUGUAUGUUAGAACGUAUGGGAAUUUUUUUACAUGAUGUAAUGAGUUUGAAAUUGAAUAAGAUACCUAAAGUGCACUUGAGCUGCAGCCACUUGGCCUGGAUUGGAACAGGAGAGUAUUUACAGUGCAGUUUUCUAGUAAAGCUUUUCUUCCCUCCUGUUACGUCAAAAAACUUGAACAAACAGCAGCCACCGACUGUAACUGUAGAUCAAAUGUCAUCAAACAAAUGGAAGGAAAUAGCUCAAGAGCUGCUGUUUUCAAAUGUUUAUGUUAAAGAAAUCUGUCCUGAUCUUUCAAGCUCUUGAACGUAUUUUGAGCUGUACUUGUGAGAGGCAUUGGAGUGUUUUCAAUAGGAUUUUCCGCAGCACUAAGGGAUGUGGCUGGCUUUAAAAGGAGCACUUUUAGCCUUAACUCUGGAACGAGUUGGGUUUACUUGUUUGUUUGUUUUUCAGUUCUAAGAUUGCACUUUUCUGUUGGAUGAAUUAUUAAGAUCAUACGCUGCAUUCCCCGUGUUAGAAUUUAAAAUGGACUCAGCGUAAUCACAGCUCAGUACAGGGCUGUGUGGUGUUUGCAUUUCGAAAUAGACUUUAUCUUUAAAAAUGUCAACAAUAAAAUGCAUGCGCUGUAUGUAAUGUGUUUGGCCCCAACUGUGUGGGACGUGGCUGAUGUCCCCUGGAAGCAGAUAUAGUAAGCACAACAGGGACGUGUUUCAGAGAAGCAGGCAUGUACCACCAGAUCUCAGAUGUUGGCAUAGGCUUUUAAUAUGGUGAUGACACCGGUAGUGAGUUUCCUAGGGACUGGCGUAUUCUCAUUGAAUCUUCUUUAUUUGUAAUUGCCUCUUUAUAGAGUAGUUCCCCAUCCUGUCUUUCUAGGAUUUGGCACAGAGAUGACAAUUCUAAGACAGCCCUUUUGCAACCUGCGUUUUCUUCUCUUUCUGCUUGUAUCAAUGAGUGCAACUGUUCUUCUGUAUCUCUUUUCCGGGUGGUUCUUGGUGCUCUUCUGCAGGCAUUGCUCCCCCCCCAGAGGCCUCCUGCAGUAAGUAAGUUGUUAUCUGCUGCCUUCUGUGCAGGUGGGAUCUUUUAUUCAGUUGCAGCGCCGUCAUUGCUUGGGGAAAAGAGCAGCUGAGCACAGGAUAGCUGCUGGUAGGUACAGGCUUUCUUUUCACUUCUAUUAAGUCACAUUCUGUAAAGAUCUACUUUGAAGCUUUUGGAUUAAUCUUUGGCUGGUUAUUUUCCUUCACAUUUGGCAAGCGAUUUUCUAUGUUUCUAGUGCUUCACCAACUCCCCUUUGUGCACCGUCUGUGAUGUCAACAGGAAUGUGCACAGUUUUGCUGCAGAGCGAUGGGGCCAACCUCCUUUUUAUGUUUGUGCUCAGACCAUAAUAAUGACAUUUUAUCAUCUCUGGAACAUUACUUGAGUUUUUAAAGUGGUAGGAAUAUCACGUGUACUUUUGAUAGGUUUAUUUAUAAGUACACAACGCUACAUACAGAAGGAGCAUUGACUGUUCCAGCUGAGUCUCUUAAACUUUAUUAUGCAGAAAAAUACGUAAAUUAUUAAGAACCCUGAAAAUCAGACUCUUUGACAUCCUUUAGUUUGAGAUAAAGUAAUAACUAACUACCCACAUGCAGGACAACAGGGUCUGUACCAAAUGAAAUCAGGAAAGAGGAAGCGAGGAGAUACCAAAGCAAUUGCCUAAAGAGGUGAAAAACACGGCAUGUAAAGAAGUGCUGAGAGAAUGUAAUUCCUUAGCUUAAGUGAGAGGAGGCUGAGAGAGUGAGAAGACAAAUUUGUUGGAGAGCAUUGCAAAGCGAGGAGCUUGUGGCAAGUAAGGAAAGAACCGGAUCAGAUUGCAGCAAAGCAGAUUCAGCAUGGACAAACAAUUUUCUGGUGAAGUAAAGUUGGAAUAAUCUUUUGUAGGGACAAUGGUGCUUCCAUUGCCUGAGGACUUUAAGAACAGGUUCAACUACCUGUAUUGUUCCCAACAGAUAGUCUAGCUUUGUGCCUUGGGGCUGAGUGAUGGGCUGUCUGACCUCUGGAUAUUCUUGCUACCCCUCCUUUGAUUAACAGACAAACUACACAGAUUCCAGUGGGAUCAGAAUAUAAAACCGAUAUACACUGGAACUUCUUUUCCACCACUGUGGCCUGUUCAGCAGCUUUAUUUCAACUGGAGUUUUCUGUAUUUGUAAGAAAGGCUAUGGCAGUUGUUACGUAAAGGUUUUGGUUUUCAGUGGGUUUUGUUUUUUUGGAAGAGUGUUAAUUGCAUGUAGGCCUCUAAGACGAUGCUAUAGUAUCUGUCCUCUUCCUCUUUGAAUAUUCUUUGCUCUGAUGUUACAUCCAGGCUAGUUAUAGGAUUGUUAUUCUGCCUGGGAAAGCUAAGAGAAUUUGUGCAGUGCUUCGUGCAGGUCAGUGUGGCCCGAGUGUGGAUCUGAAGGAGCAAUUGUUGCAGGUCACUGCAUGCAUGCAUGCAUGCAAGAGGUAGAAACUUCAGUGUGACUUUGGUUCUUAGGUGCUGUGAGCUUUGUAAUGGCAUUUAUUUUUGUCUGUGGAUAUAUACCCACUUAAGGAAAACGUACUUCUUGGUGGGACUGGCAGUAAGAGGGAGGUGCAGUGUGUGACCUGGACGUUAUAUGUCUGUUGUAAUGAUAAAGGCGAGAAGAAAUCUUUUGUAACACAUCAUCACCAGUCUUCUUGAUCUUCUUGAUUGAAGAGGAGUGAAGAAACUGAAGAACUGAUUUUUUUCACAAGACAUUAAUAGCUAUAAUUAAUAAAUGGCUUUAAUAGCUGAAGAGUUUGCUAGCAGAUACACACCUGUGGCCUCUUAUCCAUCUAUGGUUUGCAGAAAAAGUUAACUGCUACAGAGAGUAUGUUAAAAUGCAAGUUAUUUGAGUUCCAGGUAAAUGAUAGCAGUGACAACAAAUCCUUCCUUUUAUCUAGUUAACGAGCACCCAGUGGUUGCUUAAUUUGUGAACAUUGAGUGCCCUGUUAACAGCUGUGUGAGUAGUGAUGGAAAAAAUAAGAUUUUUAUAUAGUAUAAUAACGAGCUAAGUUAAUAUAGUUAUAAACAUGUGACAAAUGGAUACUGUGUAAGAAGUCUUGUUGGCUAAGUGGCUUUUUUAGACACUUAAGCCAUUGGUUUGUUGGUGUCAGUAUGAAUACAGAUUGACUUGCCAGCUAAGGAUGGCAUUUUGCUCUCACCUUCUUAGCGUGAGCACGCAGUGUGAAACACAGGACUUACUUGCAAAGCAGUACUACCUUACAUAUAUUUUCCCCGUGUGUACAGCUUCAGUGUUUAUAACAAAAUGAAAUUGCCUUUUCAAUUUAGAAAGAAAAGUCGGGAGACACAGACCAAAUGCUCAUCAGUCAUUAAGAAGAGAAACCCAAAUAAUUUUUAAGGUAGUUGUAACCUUUUAGAAUAUGAGUUCUUGUUGUUGUUGUUUGUAAAUGGUUGAGAUUAACAUUUGUCUCACUGCUCUGACAUUUUUCUCUGCUCCUUACCACCGUUGAGUGCAAGCCAGUGGCUCUGACUCUAGGUGGCAGUCAUUGGUAGGCAGAAGGGAAGGCUGCUGGGGUGCUUUGGCUUGAACCCUGCUAUCUCUGCUCUGGCUGCCUUCUCUAGUUGGAAUUUUUGUGGGGUUGGGUAGCAGUGUCAUUUCAGCAUCUCCCCCUUUCAAACAGAAACGGAGAUGCUAUGAAGAAAGAAAUAAGCAAAAAAGAAAGGCAAAAAAUAAGGGCGACUGAGGAAAUGGUGCAGCGAGACAUUCACAAAAGGAAGCUUUGGUGAUGCUAAAAAUAGUGGAGAGACUUCUUGACAGAUCAGCAAGACUCUUGUCAUAGAUUAGCAGAAACAGAUUUCUGUUUGUGAUGGGAGGAAUCCUUGUUUCCUGCUAAAUUCAGUAUCAGUAGGUUGCAAACAGUGCAACCAGGGAUGAGAGGAGUGGAGGAGGAGUACAUUGUUGUACCCUGAUUUUUAGAAAUGAGGAUUUCCUGACAGCCUCACAGCUGUGUGCCAUUUAAGAAAUACUUACUGCUUUAGAUGUCAUGUCUUUCACCUCUGCCCUGUCCCUCAUCCUCCUUUUGCAGUGUCCGUCAUCUGCUCUUCAUUUCUAACCUCUCUCCUGCCCACUUAUAGGCAAUUCCUUUCCUUCGUUCCUGUCAGCUCUCUGCCUCUUGACUCUCCACUCUUUUUUCAUAUUAAAAGUAGAGUAGGCUUCAAUUUUUCUCUCUGCUUUUCCUCGAACAGCUCUGUUUGCCUGCCUGCCUGCGCAGUCACUGCUGAGUGGUUGGACGUAGCAGUGCUUGCGUGCUGUGGCCUGCUGUAACUGCAGAGCAGCAGUAGUCUCUCAGUACUUGCUGCUCUGGGAUGAUUACAUUUCAGGAGAUGAAUACAGUUUGAUAAGAAAGCCAUUGUUAUAAUAAAUACAAUUCAAAACCAGGAAUUAAUCUAUACGUUUUAUUGAUAUAUGGUUUUGAAUUCAGUGCCAAAUUACAGGCUUGUUUACCUCUGAGCAGAUCUCAAGAAGCUCCUUGGAAAGCACUGGAGUUGCUCUGCAUUUACAGAGGUAAAAUUCAGUUCAAAUUUUGGCCCUCAGUCUCGAUAAUAAGAAAAUGAUUUACUGUUAUGUUGUAUAUGUGUAUGUGUAACAGCAUUCGUAAAGGGGCUGUGAUGCUGUAAGUGCUUUGCACAUGUUCUGCAAGGCAGGUCUUGUGCUAAAAAUCAGUAACUGAAAAGCAAAGGAUGUUGAUUUUGCUUAAUAUAGUCCUAGUGACAUCCCUUCAUUUUUUAAACGCGAUAGUUUGACAGUGGAAAAAUACAGAUUUCUGAAAAGGUACUAUGGUUGCAGGAAAAGGAGGAAAAAACCCACAAGAACUAAAGCUUGAAUCAGAUGUUUAUUUUUACAUGUUUGUAGUGAAAAACACCAUUGGCACAUUAUGUCAAGUUUUGCAAUUCACAGUCAAGUGCAUUUCCAGAGACAGCUUGACAAAUGUGGUCUAUCAUUUGUAAGAGAAAGCUUUCUGAAGAGAGUUAGCAGUGAUCUAGUGCAGUUUUCUGUGUGAAGCUCAUAUGCAAGAAAGACGGGAUAGAGAUAAUUUUGGAAUUAUGUCAAGAUUAUGUGUUAGUAUGACAGGUAUCACAGUGCCUAAUAGAUGGCGCAGCACAGAGAUAAUGAAGAGUGAUGCUUUCUGUUCCCAGCCCUGUGCUGGGCCUGGUAGGUAGCUGUGGGCAAAUCACUCUCCUUCAAUUUCUCUGUAAAAGUGAUGAUAAUGAUGUGUAUUAUUUUGCGUUUCAUUUUGAGAUCUAAAGGGAAUACAUAAAAAUGAAGUGGUACAAACACGGUGGGAAAUAGAAGGUAGUAAAAUAAGCGUUUGUAUUACAGACAGCUUUGCACUGGCAGCUGGCAAUAAAAUUAUUGAUUCUUCUGCUCUUCUUUCCUGUUGAGGAUAUCAGUAUGUGUUUGUUCACAGGACUACAGAAAAAAAUCUUGCUAUUUCUUAUGAUACUCAAUUUUUCAACGCCUCCUGCAGAACGUACUGUAACGUUAUUCUGAUUUUCUUCUUGCCCAUUGUGGUCUCUGUGAGGGACAAUUACAGCUUCAGUUCGUGGAGGAUAAGGACAGAAAAGGUCUGUCUAUCUCCCUUUUCUCUGUCUCCUCCCUUUCUAUUUCUCUCUCUCUCUUUGGCCAUUGAAAAUGUAGGUCAUAUUGCAUCACCAUAAAAUGGAACAGUCAGAAAGGUGUUUGAAAAAUGCUGACAUCCUUAGCCUCGGGUGCAUGCCAGUGUCCUUUGUUUACAUUGAGAAUAGUGUGGUACCCAUGUAAGAACCACCAUCUCUGUUCAGGUUAGUGGUAUGGGACCUAAAUUAUGAGCCAGAUUUUAAGAUGCCUUUCAUCUGCCUGCAGUAAUUUAAAAUUAGACAGAUAAAAUGCAGCCACUCACAAUAAUGAUAUACACGAGGAGCUAAUUUGUAAUCUUUAAUCUGCAAUAACCGUGACUGCGUAGCUUGAAUAAUAUUACAUUUAACAGAGAAGCUCGGUAAUAAAUUUUGCAAAUCAUGUUAAUCGUGUAUACUCUGCAUUGUCUUGAUGAACUGUGCCUUUUUAUCUCAAGAAGUGUCUGGGCUGAUAUUGCAUGUUUGUGCACCCUUUGAAAUGAGCCAAGUGGGAUUUUAUUUCUCUGUGGAAGAAUUGAUAUUCCUGAUGUCCAGCAUCCUUUUGCUUGCUACCAGCCUUUUGUUGCCUGUUUUUCUGAUGUGAUACAAGUUGUGAUCGGUGUGAAAUAUUCCUAUCACAUAAAAUACGGAAUGCAACAUUUUCUUCUGUACAGGUGCAUAGGAAUGCAGCUUUUAAACAAAUGUAUAAAUAUGAUUUCAACAGUCCUUACUUACCUUAGUUUGCAGUAACCUAAUGUGCUUUUCAGAUUGAACUUUCAAACGGUGCCAUAAAUGGUACAGCAAAACGUAGGUAUUUUCAACUAGAGGACAAGAUCCUGCUUGGAGAAUAUCUGUCACUGUUUCUGAAACUGAGUAAUUUUUUAGCCUGUCUCUCCUGUGCUUCGUGUGGUUGUAUUUGAACUGUUGAAGUGUGAUAUGCGAAGGCUUCUUAUGGCUUUUUAAAUUGUACUGCCAAAGACUUCUUAAUUGUGAGAAAAGAUGUUGCAAAACAAAUGUAAAAUUAGUGGUGAGAUUUCCUGAGCAAAAUGAUGAAUGCAGAUCUUUUUCUGUUGCAAUUAGACAAAGAAAAAUGACACUAGUUGGAGUUAAGAUGCCUCAGGUACACCUUGCUGUGCGUAGUUAUUUGUGUUUGUAUCAGCUCAGAAUUAUUCAAAAGGCUUUGUUUUAAUGAGUUACACUUUUCAUGUAAAUAUGUUUCUCUUAAAUGGAUAGUGUUCAUUAUUCAUCAUGACUGUGCCUUUAUUACCUAUGUCUAUGCAGAUGCAGUUUUCACCAGGAUAUAGCUUUUGCUCUGCCCAGCUGUGCUUUCCUGUACUGUAUGGUAUUGAACAGCACUUGCAACCGAGUUCCUUUGGUAUUCAGGCACGGGGAGUGACAUAAUGCUCAGUCUGGUUUGAAAAUGCAGGCUUUCUGCCAUCUUCUUGGAUUGCUGCUCUGCGAAUCUUUGUCACCUUUCCACCCUUCAGCUCGCUCUCCCUUUUCCAGCACACUGAAGUGCUUUCCUUCUGCAGAGGGAGCUCCUCGUGGCUUAUUCUCAAUCAUCGGAUCCCUGCCUUACAUUACUCUUUGCUGACAGUUGUGGUUGUAAUUGACCUGCUGUAAAUUCUCAGUAAGAAUCGUUCCUGUUCUUUGCCACCUAUUAUCCAGAGAAAGACUCCUCUUUAAAGAGUCGUUAAACUGUCACUUUAUUCUUCUGAAAUUUACUCUCUUGACUUCCUUCAAACUCAAAUCCAGAUGUAAUCCCUACAGCAAAAUUCACAGGUGGUAACAUAGCGUGCUCUGAUCUCUUAUACGUAGGAAUAAAAUGUUUACUGUUUUUUCAUUCACCCUCAUCUGCUCCAUUGUUUGUACUUCCCACUGAUUGCCCAAUUCCCAGAUUUGAAAGCCUUCAGAGAAGCCUUCUGUUUUUUGGGUGACUUUUUGGUUUCCAUUUUUGCAUGAAGCAGUGAAACCUGCCCUUUAUCCAACUUGCAACGUUUAAAUCAGGAUAAAAGGAAGGGCGUUCUGCAUGCAGAGCUCCCGAAUUCCCUGAAGAAAUUGGGGUUGAGAUUAAGCAGUGGAGUUACUUUCAUGGCAGGAAGAUCAUAUGCUUGAAGGGGCUGAGACUGUGAAGCUGAGCACUGAGUGAUCUUCUGCAAAGGGGAGGGUCGGCAUGAAUCCAUGUCCUAAACAGGCAGUGGAAAAAAUGAACAAGUUUUUGACAAACAUUUCCUUUCCCAAUGAGCAGCAACAAGAAUUGAAGAGAAAGCUCAAUAUUGUAGGAUUUGAUUAGAUAGUUCUGUGUAACAUUUAUUUAUAAUUUCUGUACUAUUACUGGUGUAGAAACUUAGUUACCUUGAGUCUUAUUCACCAUAAAGCAGAACAGUAACUGCAGAGGGGAGAGAAAAUAAUGCUGUACUUGUUCUCAAGUGUUGUCCACUGAAGGCAAGAAUUAGUAUGUAUUUAUUUUACUGAGCAAUUAGAAUAUCAUGAAGCUCUGUUGUGCUUCUUAGGCUCAAGUAUGUUACUGAGCAGAGUAAAGCUGGGUGAAGGUAGGAAACUGUAAAUGUGUCUGUAGGUCUUAUCAGUCCAGACCAUGUCAGCUGGUAAGCUGCAAUUUAAAAGGAGAAGAAAGGGUCUUGUCCUCAGUGCAUAAAAAGAAUUUGAAAGCAUGAAGUCAGUUUGCAGGCAGCUUCCCAGAAGGCAGGAAGAGCUUCGUUCUGCACCUUCCGUCGGGCUGAGCCCUCCCGCCCCGGCACGGCUCGGAUGCCCUCUUGGACUGCAUUCCUCUUGUCUGGACUUUAAUCCUUGGAGGGGAAAAAAUAAUUCUCGCUGAAGUGUCAUCCGUCCGCAGCACGAGAGGGCUUAUUUAUAUCCAUCUUCGUGGCUUCUUUGUAAAAUGAAGGAAAAUGCUAGUUUAACUUCAGAACGCUAAUGCCAAUUAUUUGAUCUUCAGUAUAACCCGUGCAUGAGGAUGGGUGAAAAUUAUUUUGAAAUUUUAACCAAUUAGGCAUUAAUUAAUGCUAAAACAAAGCUAACCAUGCCAAAAUUUAUGUAAACAGUAAAUUUGUAAGUAUUAAAAGAAAGGAUUUUAAAAACUUGAGAUCAGAGAAGUUCCUGUCGUGGGAAAAGCUUCCCUCUGUGUAUCUUCCUAAUUUUUAUUAAAUCCCUCAUCAGCAAUACAGUAAUAGUCACUAAUGACUCUUACACGAGGGAUCAUUUUUAGCUAUCCACGUUCUGUGACAUGGUGGUAAAAAUGUCAAUGACUGCGUACCGAGAGCUCCUCUUAUUGGAGUCGUGUUAUAUUCUAGAAAAAUCCUGUGCAGAAAAUACAGCACUGUCAUAUUAGCAGCUGGUGAUACAGACACCAAUUUCUGCUUGGAAAUCUGGUCAGUGGUUGGCGAUGUAAGCGCAGUAACUGGGCUGAAGAUUGAGAUUUAAACCAAUGCAUACCUUUCUGGUAAUGUCAGGCUGCCGUUUAAAGAGCUGUUCUGUGCAAAGAGGGC